rnacentral:rRNA from 1 species
UACGAAGGGGGCUAGCGUUGUUCGGAAUCACUGGGCGUAAAGGGCGCGUAGGCGGCUUUGUAAGUCGGGGGUGAAAGCCUGUGGCUCAACCACAGAAUUGCCUUCGAUACUGCAUGGCUUGAGACCGGAAGAGGUAAGUGGAACUGCGAGUGUAGAGGUGAAAUUCGUAGAUAUUCGCAAGAACACCAGUGGCGAAGGCGGCUUACUGGUCCG